GAUGAAGAACGCAGCGAAAUGCGAUAAGUAGUGAAUUGCAGAAUUCAGUGAAUCAUCGAAUCUUUGAACGCACAUUGCGCCCCUUGGUAUCCCGAGGGGCAUGCCUGUUCGAGCGUCAUUUCACCACUCAAGCCUGGCUUGGUGUUGGGCGACGUCCCCUUUGGGGACGCGCCUCGAAACGCUCGGCGGCGUGGCACCGGCUUUAAGCGUAGCAGAAUCUUUCGCUUUGGAAGUCGGGGCCCCGUCUGCCGGAAGACCUACUCGCAAGGUUGACCUCGGAUCAGGCAGGGAUACCCGCUGAACUUAAGCAUAUCAAUAAGCGGAGGA
rnacentral:misc_RNA from 1 species